UCCAAGGUAUAACAGUUAGUGUUUACCAAAUAUUUGAAAACUAUAGUUUUACAACUGCCAAAUUUCAAUCCCAAACAUGAUGUAUAAUACCUAAUGGACACAAUAAUUUUCAAAUAGCAUUAAAUAAUCGUUAAAAGUCUCAAAGUUGGAUUUUAAGUCAUGGGGCAUCCUUCAUUUGCAAAAGAUACAUAUUUGGUUGGUGCACAAAUUCUUCCAUAAAGUUUAUUCAUACAUAGCCAAACGCAUCCCCUGCUUAACUGAAUUGCUGCAUGCUCAAUUAAAUUUCUAUUAAAAGGCUCCCAAUCCCAAAGAAAUCCGCAAUAUCAUAAUUAAUAUUAAAAUAUUAAUUAACAGGAAGCUCAAAUAAUGUUCUUGCAACCAAGUACCAGCUGCAGCCAAAGAAAAGAGCAAGCCAGCAAAAAAAAACUUCUCCUGAAAUACAUAGCAUCGAGGAUUCCCUUAUGCAUCGUAUUGGUAACAUGGGUUCUUGUAACAUCCCAGUUUGAAUUUCAAAGGCAAAUAUGUCUACAACUCACAUAUGAAUUUAAAUAACUCUUUACAAACAAUAAAAUUCGAGCCUCAAAUAUAAAAGCCAGCGGAAUAACUUAAAAAUUUAGCCAAACAAUCUACCAUCCUCAAUUCAAAUCCAUCUUCUUACUCAUCACGAAUCAAUCCUGACUUCUGAAAACUGAAUCACAAUAAACUAUAACGAGUACAAAACUCAGUAAGCAAACUAGUUUUUCUUAUACUAAAAUACAUACAUACUUAUACAUAAUGCAGAUGGAUAAUAUGUCAUGAUCUUUUGGAAAUAUUGUAAAACAAAUUCAUCAAAAUCUCUUUCUGUCACUUUCAAACUUCCAUAUUUUCUUUCAAUAAAAUACAUAUUCUGCAAUUGUGGCACUUUGCGUCGCUCUGACUCUUAAGAGGUGGCCUCCGCAUAGUCUCAAGAGGUGGCCCCCACACAACUUCAAGAGGUGGCCCCCAAUAUAAAAUCUCAUAAAACAGAAAUCUCAUUUGCUAAAAUCCAUUUUCUCAUUCAUAGAAAACUCAUUGCAUUUUCGUACUUAUGCCAAUGAAAUUUCACACAUACAUAUACCCAUGUACGUAAUCACGCCCAGCACAUAACAACACAUCACAUAAACACAUGAGCAGAGACAUAUAAAUCCAUAAUCGUACAUGUAAAAAAUAGGCUAUUCACACAAGUCAAACAUAUAUAUUGUUUAUUGUGAUUCAUUUAAAAGUCUAUUUAACUUACCUCUUGGCAUCCUCAUGCAACAAAUGCGUACUGAUAUCAUCAACCUAAAAUCAUCAAUAAAUUUCUUAGAAAAUAUAAUCAAGUCUCAAUAAUAAACUCUAAUGUCCUCAGCUAUCUCAAUUUAAACAUCUCAUAAGCUCAACCUCAAAUGUCCUCAAUAAUCGGCCCUCAAAACAUAACAGUCCAUAUUCUCCGAUUUUUUAAUAAAUUAUUCCCUCAUUGGAAAACUCUCAAAUUUUACAGACCAUAUGCUGACAUAUUGAAAGUUCACUGAUAAAAAUUUCAUAACUUGAUUCCUUCAAAAACUAUUGAAAAUAAUUGACGUUUCAGACAUCAUCAAUGCUGUCAAACAGUUUUCUGUUUUGCACACACUUGCUUUAAAAAUACAAAAAAAAUUAUUUCUUUAUCAUAAAAUCAUGAAAAUUUACAGACUCAUACUAGACAUAUGUAAAAAUCUCUGAUCCAAAUUUCAUAAUUUUUGAAGAAGUCUAGCUAUGGUAAAAAUUGUUUCGUAAUUCACGUUAUGCACUGAAAUCAUAAAUUUUCAGGUUUUCAGACUUGAAUUUGGGUGGCCCCCACACAACUUCAAGAGGUGGCCCCCAAUAUAAAAUCUCAUAAAACAGAAAUCUCAUUUGCUAAAAUCCAUUUUCUCAUUCAUAGAAAACUCAUUGCAUUUUCGUACUUAUGCCAAUGAAAUUUCACACAUACAUAUACCCAUGUACGUAAUCACGCCCAGCACAUAACAACACAUCACAUAAACACAUGAGCAGAGACAUAUAAAUCCAUAAUCGUACAUGUAAAAAAUAGGCUAUUCACACAAGUCAAACAUAUAUAUUGUUUAUUGUGAUUCAUUUAAAAGUCUAUUUAACUUACCUCUUGGCAUCCUCAUGCAACAAAUGCGUACUGAUAUCAUCAACCUAAAAUCAUCAAUAAAUUUCUUAGAAAAUAUAAUCAAGUCUCAAUAAUAAACUCUAAUGUCCUCAGCUAUCUCAAUUUAAACAUCUCAUAAGCUCAACCUCAAAUGUCCUCAAUAAUCGGCCCUCAAAACAUAACAGUCCAUAUUCUCCGAUUUUUUAAUAAAUUAUUCCCUCAUUGGAAAACUCUCAAAUUUUACAGACCAUAUGCUGACAUAUUGAAAGUUCACUGAUAAAAAUUUCAUAACUUGAUUCCUUCAAAAACUAUUGAAAAUAAUUGACGUUUCAGACAUCAUCAAUGCUGUCAAACAGUUUUCUGUUUUGCACACACUUGCUUUAAAAAUACAAAAAAAAUUAUUUCUUUAUCAUAAAAUCAUGAAAAUUUACAGACUCAUACUAGACAUAUGUAAAAAUCUCUGAUCCAAAUUUCAUAAUUUUUGAAGAAGUCUAGCUAUGGUAAAAAUUGUUUCGUAAUUCACGUUAUGCACUGAAAUCAUAAAUUUUCAGGUUUUCAGACUUGAAUUUGAAAAAUCAUAACUAAUUGAAAUCUUAUCCGAUUAACUUGAAACAAGUUUCAAAACAUUCUAGAUGAUGUCUAGUUUAACAUAUCCAAAUAUCAGAAUCAAAAUCAAUUUGUAAAAAUUACUAAGAUUUUCGUAAUAAUUCACUGUGAGCAUAUUUAUGCAAAAUCUUAAGUUUCUACUUCUAUUGCAAUCAUGCUUCUCCAUAACGAAUUAAUAAAUAAAACCAAGAAUUAAAACUUACCUCCAAAUCCAAAUCUUUUCUCAACAAUACCCAAUUCAAAUUAUGCAACUUGAUCUCAUGUGUUGCCCAUGACAGAAUAAAGAAGAAGAUUUUCUUCUUUUCUUUUCUCUCUUUUCUUUUCUCUCUUUUCUCUCCAUCUCUCUCUCUCAUUUUUCCUAUUGUUUUUUUUUUCUCAACCGAUCUCUCUUUCCCUCUCUCUUAUAAUGAGAAAGACAUACUAUUCUAUUUAUACUAGGGUAAAAAAUAGAUCACUAAAAUUAAAAGAUUUAAAUACCCUUAGGAGAAUUGGGGUAUUACAGUUCCCAUCAAUAACUAUCCUGAAAACUUCAGCACAGCUGUAGUCAAACAGCUACUGCCUAUUGUCACGGCCCGCUUGUUCCCAAGUUGUGCCGUGCGGCCUUAGGCGCCAAAUCACACUCUCUUAACCCUAAGUUAGCCUUGCACACUCCGAACGUUGCUGGAUUCAAAAGUCGAAAUGAGUAUUCACACAAACUCACUCAAGAUAGGAGGAAAGAACUUUUAUUGCUCAAAAAAAGCUUACAAUGCUUUGUGUGCUGGAACUUGUGUGUUUCUAGUGUGUCUUGAACCAAACGAUG
rnacentral:lncRNA from 1 species